rnacentral:rRNA from 2 species
UGGCCUCAGAUCAGGGAGGAUCACCCGCCGA